rnacentral:rRNA from 1 species
CCUACGGGGUGCAGCAGUAGGGAAUAUUGCUCAAUGGGCGAAACUCUGAAGCAGCAACGCCGCGUGGAGGAUGAAGGUUUUCUGAUCGUAAACCUCUUUUGUUAGAGAAGAUAAAGACGGUAUCUAACUAAUCAUCACCUGCCAAUGCCGUGCCAGCAGCUGCGGGCUUACGGAGGGCGCAAACGUUAGUCGGAAUCACUGGGCGGAACGAGGGCGGAGGCGGGGUAGCAAGUCAGAUGUGAAAUCCUAUGGCUUAACCGUAGAACUGCAUUUGAAACUGUUAGUCUAGAGUGUGGGAGAGGUAGGUGGAAGUCUAGGUGUAGGGGUAAAAUCCGUAGAGAUCAGGAGGAAUACUCGUUGCGAAGGCGGCCUGCUGGAACGUAACUGACGCUGAGGCGCGAAAGCGUGGGGAGCAAACAGGAUUAGAUACCCCAGUAGUC